GACGAACGCUGGCGGCGUGCUUAACACAUGCAAGUCGAACGAAGUGGCGAACGGGUGAGUAACGCGUAAUCAACCUGCCCUUCAGAGGGGGACAACAGUUGGAAACGACUGCUAAUACCGCAUACUGAAGGAGGGGAGUGCGGCUGAUGAGCUGGUUGGAGGGGUAACGGCGCACCAAGGCGAUGAUCUGGAGCCGGUCGGGGAGGAUGAACGGCCACAUUGGGACUGAGAAACGGCCCAGACUCCUUGGGGAGGCGGCAGUGGGGAAGCUUCCGCAAUGGACGAAAGUCUGACGGAGCAACGCCGCGUGAGUGAUGACUGCCUUCGGGUUGUAAAGCUCUGUUAAUCGGGACGCGGUACCGGAAUAGAAAGCCACGGCUAACUACGUGCCAGCAGCCGCGGUAAUAC
rnacentral:rRNA from 1 species